rnacentral:rRNA from 1 species
AUUGAACGCUGGCGGCAGGCUUAACACAUGCAAGUCGAGCGGGGGAAGGUAGCUUGCUACUGGACCUAGCGGCGGACGGGUGAGUAAUGCUUAGGAAUCUGCCUAUUAGUGGGGGACAACAUCUCGAAAGGGAUGCUAAUACCGCAUACGUCCUACGGGAGAAAGCAGGGGAUCUUCGGACCUUGCGCUAAUAGAUGAGCCUAAGUCGGAUUAGCUAGUUGGUGGGGUAAAGGCCUACCAAGGCGACGAUCUGUAGCGGGUCUGAGAGGAUGAUCCGCCACACUGGGACUGAGACACGGCCCAGACUCCUACGGGAGGCAGCAGUGGGGAAUAUUGGACAAUGGGGGGAACCCUGAUCCAGCCAUGCCGCGUGUGUGAAGAAGGCCUUAUGGUUGUAAAGCACUUUAAGCGAGGAGGAGGCUACUUUAGUUAAUACCUAGAGAUAGUGGACGUUACUCGCAGAAUAAGCACCGGCUAACUCUGUGCCAGCCGCCGCGGUAAAAC